rnacentral:rRNA from 1 species
GAUGAACGCUGGCGGCGUGCCUAAUACAUGCAAGUCGAGCGAACGGACGAGAAGCUUGCUUCUCUGAUGUUAGCGGCGGACGGGUGAGUAACUCGUGGAUAACCUACCUAUAAGACUGGGAUAACUUCGGGAAACCGGAGCUAAUACCGGAUAAUAUUUUGAACCGCAUGGUUCAAAAGUAAAAGACGGUCUUGCUGUCACUUAUAGAUGGAUCCGCGCUGCAUUAGCUAGUUGGUAAGGUAACGGCUUACCAAGGCAACGAUGCAUAGCCGACCUGAGAGGGUGAUCGGCCACACUGGAACUGAGACACGGUCCAGACUCCUACGGGAGGCAGCAGUAGGGAAUCUUCCGCAAUGGGCGAAAGCCUGACGGAGCAACGCCGCGUGAGUGAUGAAGGUCUUCGGAUCGUAAAACUCUGUUAUUAGGGAAGAACAUAUGUGUAAGUAACUGUGCACAUCUUGACGGUACCUAAUCAGAAAGCCACGGCUAACUACGUG